rnacentral:rRNA from 1 species
AGCUUGCUCUCUGAUUCAGCGGCGGACGGGUGAGUAAUGCCUAGGAAUCUGCCUGGUAGUGGGGGACAACGUUUCGAAAGGAACGCUAAUACCGCAUACGUCCUACGGGAGAAAGCAGGGGACCUUCGGGCCUUGCGCUAUCAGAUGAGCCUAGGUCGGAUUAGCUAGUAGGUGAGGUAAUGGCUCACCUAGGCGACGAUCCGUAACUGGUCUGAGAGGAUGAUCAGUCACACUGGAACUGAGACACGGUCCAGACUCCUACGGGAGGCAGCAGUGGGGAAUAUUGGACAAUGGGCGAAAGCCUGAUCCAGCCAUGCCGCGUGUGUGAAGAAGGUCUUCGGAUUGUAAAGCACUUUAAGUUGGGAGGAAGGGCAGUAAGUUAAUACCUUGCUGUUUUGACGUUACCGACAGAAUAAGCACCGGCUAACUUCGUGCCAGCAGCCGCGGUAAUACGAAGGGUGCAAGCGUUAAUCGGAAUUACUGGGCGUAAAGCGCGCGUAGGUGGUUCAGCAAGUUGGAGGUGAAAUCCCCGGGCUCAACCUGGGAACUGCCUCCAAAACUACUGAGCUAGAGUACGGUAGAGGGUAGUGG